rnacentral:rRNA from 1 species
UACGUAGGUGGCAAGCGUUGUCCGGAUUUACUGGGCGUAAAGAGCGCGCAGGCGGUCGGAUUAGUCGCGUGUGAAAGCCCCCGGCUCAACUGGGGAGGGUCACGCGAUACUGUUCGACUCGAAGGCAGGAGAGGGAAGUGGAAUUCCCGGUGUAGUGGUGAAAUACGUAGAUAUCGGGAGGAACACCAGUGGCGAAGGCGACUUCCUGGCCUGUUCUUGACGCUGAGGCGCGAAAGCUAGGGUAGCAAACGGG